rnacentral:rRNA from 1 species
GACAGAGGGUGCAAACGUUGUUCGGAAUUACUGGGCGUAAAGCGCGUGUAGGCGGCUUUGCAAGUCGGAUGUGAAAUCCCACGGCUCAACCGUGGAAGUGCAUUCGAAACUGCAAGGCUAGAGUUCUGGAGAGGAAGGUGGAAUGCUUGGUGUAGAGGUGAAAUUCGUAGAUAUCAAGCGGAACACCGGUGGCGAAGGCGGCUCACUGGCUCGUAACUGACGCUCAGGCGCGACAGCGUGGGGAUCAAACAGG